AGGGUUGUGGCUCAGAGGUAGAGCACUCGCCUAGCAUGCGUGAGGCACUGGGUUCAAUUCUCAGCACCUCAU
rnacentral:tRNA from 1 species